AAACUGGGCCCAUACACGGGGCGGGGGGGCAAGGGAGAGGGAAGAAAAAGGCAGACCACUCCACAUUGGUAGGUGGCAGGUUUAAUAAGCAAGAGAACUUAGUUACGAGGCACGUGCUUGUCUUCGGCAGCUGCAAGAAGAGCAGAUCUUCUCACCUGCCCACCAGAAAGACCAAAAUACCCAUCUGGAGAAGGAUGGCCUCUUCUUCAAGUGAUCACCACCACACUACAGUAGGUGCAGUCAGAUACGAUUCCUCCAUCUAUCAAACAAGGUCAAGUCUAACAAUCAAAGAGUAUUAGCAUAAAGAUUAGCCCUGAGCUAACUACUGCCAAUCCUCCUCUUUCUGCUGAGGAAGACUGGCCCUGAGCUAACAUCCACGCCCAUCUUCCUCUACUUUAUACGCGGGACACCUACCACAGCAUGGCUUGACAAGCGGUACCAUGUCUGCACCCGGGAUCUGAACCGGUGAACCCCAGGCCACCGAGAAGCGGAACGUGC
rnacentral:lncRNA from 1 species